rnacentral:rRNA from 1 species
AGUGAACGCUGGCGGCAUGCUUUACACAUGCAAGUCGAACGGUAACAGGCCGCAAGGUGCUGACGAGUGGCGAACGGGUGAGUAAUGCAUCGGAACGUGCCCAGUCGUGGGGGAUAACGCAGCGAAAGCUGUGCUAAUACCGCAUACGAUCUAUGGAUGAAAGCGGGGGACCGUAAGGCCUCGCGCGAUUGGAGCGGCCGAUGUCAGAGUAGGUAGUUGGUGGGGUAAAGGCCUACCAAGCCGACGAUCUGUAGCUGGUCUGAGAGGACGACCAGCCACACGGGGACUGAGACACGGCCCAGACUCCUACGGGAGGCAGCAGUGGGGAAUUUUGGACAAUGGGCGCAAGCCUGAUCCAGCAAUGCCGCGUGCAGGAAGAAGGCCUUCGGGUUGUAAACUGCUUUUGUACGGAACGAAACGGUCUGGGUUAAUACCCUGGGCUAAUGACGGUACCGUAAGAAUAAGCACCGGCUAACUACGUGCCAGCCGCCGCCGUAAUAC